rnacentral:rRNA from 1 species
UGGGGAAUUUUGGCCAAUGGGGGAAACCCUGAUCCAGCCAUCCCGCGUGUGCGAUGAAGGCCUUCGGGUUGUAAAGCACUUUUGGCAGGAAAGAAACGUCAUGGGUUAAUACCCCGUGAAACUGACGGUACCUGCAGAAUAAGCACCGGCUAACUACGUGCCAGCAGCCGCGGUAAUACGUAGGGUGCACGCGUUAAUCGGAAUUACUGGGCGUAAAGCGUGCGCAGGCGGUUCGGAAAGAAAGAUGUGAAAUCCCAGAGCUCAACUUUGGAACUGCAUUUUUAACUACCGGACUAGAGUGUGUCAGAGGGAGGUGGAAUUCCGCGUGUAGCAGUGAAAUGCGUAGAUAUGCGGAGGAACACCGAUGGCGAAGGCAGCCUCCUGGGAUAACACUGACGCUCAUGCACGAAAGCGUGGGGAGCAAACAGG